GCCUUGCUUCUGCUGUCCUGAUUCAGGGUGGUCCUAUACGUAUUAGCCCUUCAAAAAAUAUAUAAGAUAGAAAAAGUGUGUGUUUGUUGAAUGAAUGAAUGAGGAAACUCUAGCAACUUGUUGUAACUCUACUAAGUUUGAAAGCUAUGCAUUUAUUAGGAUCUUUAAAGAAUGCUCAGACUCAAAGCACAUGGAGAAACAGGGAGCCAGAUGAUCCCGAUGGAAUCUGCACCCGGAUCAGGAGCUGGAGGACGAGAAGAGGCACAGAAGGAGAGCCCUCCACCCUGCCGUCAGUCCAGGGCUGGCUUCUCAGAUAUGGCAACAGAACGAGGUUUUGAAGGGCUUUAAAAACAUGCUUUUUAAAAUUUAAUAAUUGCUUUUGAGAAAAUGCAGUUUCUGUAAACCUUCCCUGUUGUGUGUUUUUAAUUCAGGGUUGCAAUUGCCCAGCCCCCGAUGGCAUGGUAGGCAGUUUUGUGAGCAUUUGAGCUGCCAAGUCUGUUUGCCACGGGGCCACCCCCCUUCCCUUCCACGUGGGCGCUCACCGGCAGCAUGGGCAGGAGGGGUAAGGGGGGCUUUGGGGAGGCCCCCCAUACAUCGACUUUACGGAUAAUUAGAGGGAGGGUAAUUAUACAAGACACAUUCAUUUCCUGAAACUGAAACUGAAAUGAUUGCAAUGCCUUUAGGAAACUUUAAGCUUUGGAGGAAAACAUGUAAAAUUUGCAUAGUUCGCAAUCACCCCGUCCUUUCAUUUCCUCGCCCCCAACACUGCCCUUCUCCCUCUGCUCCUGUCAGUGACAGUUGUUUGAAUGGCCCUGCCCAAGCAGGCUUGCGGAAGAAGAUUUCAUUCUGAAUGCGGGAGGGAAGGAAGACACAUCCUCUAGUGGCAAAAUGCUGGGUCACACGGAAGAGAAAACACGUUUGGUGCACACGCCUGGGAAAUACAUGACUGAGAACCCCAUGACCUGGCCUCCCCACACCCUGCAGGACUGUCCUGGGUCACUUGCUUGUCUUCUCCGGUGGCUCAUUCACUCAAAUAGAUGCAGCCACCCCCACAUACACUGCGUCUGAAAUUUCCAACUCAGUAAUUUACCUCACUUUCUCCAGCCCCACAUUCUGAAUUUCUUGCAAGAUAACUUCGCUGGAAACUUAAUGGUCAAAAAUAGGGUACAUUGUAAUACCUAAUGUUGGUGAGGGUAUGAGGGGAACAGUGCAGUCAUACGUUCUAGGUGAGGACAUAAAGUAGUGAGAAUCAGUCAGGGACUGCAUCAGGCUGUUAGCAGCAGAGGCCUGAUUGACAUAGCUUAGAACAAUUAGGACUUUGCUUACAUCUGACAAACAGCCUAGAGCUGUUUGAAAACUCUAAGAGGGCUUUCAAGGACCUAGACUCAUUUGGCCUUCCUGCUCCCUCAUCCUUAGUGCACAGCUUCCAUCCUCAAGGUCACAACAAGGCUGCUAUAGCUCCAGCUCCAGCCGUCACAAUAGGGACCCAUUCAGGAAGAAGAGGAAGGACUGGAAGCAAGAGACUUUCAGAGACGUCUCACUCAAAACUUCUGCUUACAUCUCAUUGGCCACCCAUAUCUGCAAGGACGGCCCAGAAAUGCAGCUUUUGGAUUACUAAGGGAGUAAGGGAGCAUGGAUAUUGGGUAGAUUACUAGCACUCUCUGCCAUGAGGUACAGCCUUUUUGGAGGACAAUUCAGAAAGAGCUGUCCAAAUUUAAAAAUUUAAGUGCACCUUACCUCUUGACUCAGGUUCCCCUGCCAGGAAUUUCUCCUGGAGAAGCACACGUUCUCACGUUCUCACCUGUGUGCAUAUGCUUACACACUACAAGCUGUUAUUGCGGCAGGAAAGGGCUCAUGGAAAUACAUUUUUGCCGAGUGCAACGUCCCAGUGAACAUCAGGCCCUGGCCCGUCGGAGGAAGCAGGCGAGGCAAGCUCAGCACGUGGCUGUUGACACCCGAGACUCUCGAAGACAAUCGAGUCCACCCUUCAUCCUCAGAGGAGGACGCUGAGCCCGAGAGGGGAAGGGGCAGUGGAGAUGGAGACCUUCUGCAUCUGCGUGUUGGAGAUUGUCUGCCUUACGACAGCUUCUCAGACACUCUGAGGCCAUCACCGUUCCCCUGUUGACAGCAGUCGUCUCUCAGUGUCACAGUCUGUACCAGAAGGGCAUCCAGCGGUACUCAGCUGGCAUGUCACGAGUGGGGCCUGCUGCGUCCUCCAGAGCCUCGGGCUGAGUCUCGAGGGGCCCCUGCCGGCCUGUCUGUAAAGACACGGCACAAAUAGCUCAAAGCGUAUGGUGGCUCCAUCCACCGCAGGCUCUUUGUGAGUGAAAAUCUGAAAAGAUGCCUGGGAGGAGAAUUGUUGGAGAUUUGUACGGGAACAGCCCCAUCCACGGGGAGGAAGAAGGCCUGAGUUAUCAUCCGACUACAGCUUUGUGCUUUCUCCACAUUAAUGAGGCAUUUGAAGAAGAAGGGCUCCUUCUAUAACCAUAGAAGUUGUGAUAUUAUAGAGAUGGGGGAAAUGAUAAUUUUUAUAGCCCUGACUGUUGAAAUAGCCACAGUGGAGGGAAAUUUUCCUUGGAGAGUCAUCCCAGGGGAGUCUUACAAGUUUGCACAGUGCUCUGCAUCAGUGGCAGGGAAGGCGUGUGCUGGCUAUAAAGGCAGAACAGCGGACAUUUCUUGUUUCAGUGCACCCAGUAUCCAUUCUUCUUGUGGAUACGCUCCCCAGAGUUCAUAUGGAAAGCUGUCUUUCUACCUCCGUCCAUGUGGUUUGAGUAGGCUGGGCUUGAACCCAGUGCCAGGGGUGGGAUAUGACCCAGUCAUGGCAAAUCACAGCCAUCCCACCCCCUGACCCCAGGAUUUGGUUCAGAAGUGGGCAUUGAGCCUCAAUUCCAGGACUUGCGUUGUAUCUCCUGGGAAAGAGAAGCCCUUUCCUCUAGGUCAUUAGGUGUGUGAGCCUGGAUAUGCUAAGAGGCACCUUAAGGUGAGACCUACUGGAGAAUAAAAGAAUGGAAUAAAGAGAUGAGGAGAAAAAUGAAAGAAAGCAAAAGUGAGAGACUACUUGAACCCCUGGAUCCAGCCAGACCUGAAGCUAAAAAUCCUGGGCUUUUCAGAAACAUGAACCAAUCAAUCAACUCCUCUCCUUUUUUUCUUUUUACUUGGUCCAGUUUGAGUAAGUUUUCCAUCACUAUUAGUGAUGAAUCAAACUGAUAAAGUAGCAUAUUGGAAAAGAACAGAGAGUCGCUUUCUCUCCUUUCCCAUCCUUACGUUCUCAAAAGAUAAAAUACUGCCUUCAAAGGGCUGUGGGGAGCAAACAACAUAGUGAAGGAUGUGAUUGGGACAAUAGUGUUGCUGGUCAUCUCUGAAGGAAGCAGGAGGACCCGACAGCUGAGAAACGAGAGAAGGUGAGCUUGGAGAUUGGAGAGCAGUCUUGCACUGUGCAGCAAAGGCCAGGGGAAGCCAGCUCAGAGAGAAUAUUCAACUCCGCACUGCUCACAGGGAGGGCAAGGGACCCUCCUACUGGGAAUGGGCAGCCCACGGGGCGUAUGAAAAGGAGAAAAGUAGCUGCUUUUCAAAAGACAGUCCCCUUCAUAAGAAGAAUUCUAUUGCCAGGUUCUAAGACGUUCUUCUCUGUCUUAUCACGUAGCAGGGUGAAAAUUCAAUAGAAUAAAGCUGUGAAGCUGUUAGAACA